rnacentral:rRNA from 1 species
CAGUCGCCGCGGGAAUACGGGGGGGGCAAGUGUUAUUCGGAAUGACUGGGCGUAAAGGGCACGUAGGCGGUGAAAAGGGUGGAAAGUGAAAGUCGCCAAAACACUGGCGGGGUGCUUUCUUGACCAUUUCACUUGAGUGAGAUAGGGGAGAGUGGAAUUUCGUGUGGAGGGAUCAAAUCCUAAGAUAUACGAAGGAACGCCAACCGCGAAGGCAGCUCUCUGGGUCCCCACUGACGCUGGGGUGCGAAAGCAUGGGGAGCAAACAGGAUCAGAUACCCCGGUAGUCCCUGUCUCUUAUACA